rnacentral:misc_RNA from 1 species
CAAAACAGAACGACCCGAGAACGAACGAUCAUCACCUCUGGCGGGCCGGUCUCUUAGUCGAUUCCGUGCCCGCUGGAUCCGUGGUUUCGCGAAUUGCUCCGAUCACGACUCGCGUCUUCGAUCUGGGCUCUGCGCGUUGCUUCCGGACUUAACAAAACCCCGGCACGAAAAGUGUCAAGGAACAUGCAACUAAAUGGCUACUCAUCCGUGGUCCYCGGAGACGGUGUGUCCGCGGAUGCUUAGUCGUAAAAUAUAAAGUCUAAAACGACUCUCGGCAACGG